rnacentral:rRNA from 1 species
UACGUAGGGUGCAAGCGUUAAUCGGAAUUACUGGGCGUAAAGCGUGCGCAGGCGGUUCGCUAAGACCGAUGUGAAAUCCCCGGGCUUAACCUGGGAACUGCAUUGGUGACUGGCGGGCUAGAGUAUGGCAGAGGGGGUAGGAAUUCCACGUGUAGCAGUGAAAUGCGUAGAUAUGCGGAGGGACACCGAUGGCGAAGGCAAUCCCCUGGACCUGUACUGACGCUCAUGCACGAAAGCGUGGGGAGCAAACAGGAU